CAUGGUUUGACAAACAGUCCACAUCGGGGAUCCGAACAGGCAAACCCAGGGCCACCAAAGUGGAACGGGUGAACUUAACCACUGUGCCACUGGGCUGGCCCCUCUAGUUACCCUAAAGUAACUUAUUAUAAAUUAGCAUGAAACUGAAAUGUCGAUUGGACUGAGGCAGAUAAAUCCUUCGUUUUAAUUAGACUUUACAGGGCAACAUUGUAACAUCCCAAAGGACUCACAUAUUAAGGGCCAGGAAUUCUGGAGUGACUUGGCUAGGUGGUUCUGGCCCGGGGUCUCCCGUGAAGCUUCAGUCAAGAUAUCAGCUGGGGCUAUCUGCUGGAGCUGCAGUCAUCGGAAGGCGUGAGCGAGCCAUGGAAGAUCUGCUUCCAAGAUUGUGCACUCACAUUGUUGGUAGCAAGAGGCCACCUCACCAGUUGUUGGCCAGAGGCCUCAAUUCCUUUGCAUGUGAAUUUCUCCAUAAGGUGGCUUUGGUGUCCUUCCAACAUGGCAAUUGGCCUCUUCCAGGGUUAGUGAUCCAAGAGAGACAGCAAGAAGGAAGCCACAAUACUUUUUAUGACCUAGUCUCAAAAGUCAUACACCAUAACUUCCACCAGAUUUGUUCAAAGUGAGUCACACAGGAAAUAACUAAACACAAUUGUCAGGAAUUAUCUACAUAUGCAAGAAAAGGAGUUCCCAUAUGGUGAAAUCACAGGCUGUCUGAUCUCUCUCAGUGUGGCCCUGGACUCAUCACAUCCUCUCCCUGGGUCCUGAUUUCUUCUCCUGUAAAAAGAGAACAGGCCACGGAUCUGCCACUUCGACUGCAUGUAUGCACAUGUAUAACAGGAAUGAAAGUUCCAUAAAACAAUACUUAUUCGCAUGAUGUACUCUCAUUACCCCGUAUUCUAUGCUAAUUCAUUAAAAAAAAAUUCAGGUUAAAAUCUGCUAGGUUGAUUUCACAAUCCAUUAACGGCUUCACCAUUCUUUGAGUUCAAUCCUAAUACCUACUUCCACUUCUGGCUGCUCCUUUUCCAUCAGUACCAGACCAGAAACAUUACAGAGCAAGCGAGUCCUGUCUUCCAGGUUCUGAGAGGCACCUCUUCUAAAGGUGGGUCAACCCUUCGAGCCUAUUCUAGUUAGGCCCGAGUUAGGAUCAGAGGUGGCUUGUCAGGGCGAGGAGGGUACUGUGCUUAGCUUCAAAAUUUGGCCCUGCAACUCACUAGCUACGUGACCCGGGGCAGCCCUUUAAGCUCUCUUAGUUCACUGCUCCUCUCUACAACUGGAAUCGCCUAUCUCAUAAAGUUGUC
ensembl:lncRNA